AUGCACGCUGGCGGCGUGCUUAACACAUGCAAGUCGAACGAGAAGUGGAGACGGAAACCUUCGGGCGGAAGACUUUACUUCGAGUGGCGGACGGGUGAGUAACGCGUGGGUAACCUGCCUCAUACAGGGGGAUAACAGUUGGAAACGACUGUUAAUACCGCAUAAGACCACAGCACCGCAUGGUGCGGGGGUAAAAACUCCGGUGGUAUGAGAUGGACCCGCGUUCGAUUAGCCAGUUGGCGGGGUAACGGCCCACCAAAGCGACGAUCGAUAGCCGAUCUGAGAGGAUGACCGGCCACAUUGGGACUGAGACACGGCCCAAACUCCUACGGGAGGCAGCAGUGGGGAAUAUUGCACAAUGGGGGAAACCCUGAUGCAGCGACGCCGCGUGAGUGAAGAAGUAUUUCGGUAUGUAAAGCUCUAUCAGCAGGGAAGAAAAUGACAGUACCUGAGUAAGAAGCCCCGGCUAACUACGUG
rnacentral:rRNA from 1 species